AACGAACGCUGGCGGCAUGCCUAACACAUGCAAGUCGAACGAGACCUUCGGGUCUAGUGGCGCACGGGUGCGUAACGCGUGGGAACCUGCCCUUAGGUUCGGAAUAACUCCCCGAAAGGGGUGCUAAUACCGGAUAAUGUCUUCGGACCAAAGAUUUAUCGCCUUUGGAUGGGCCCGCGUUGGAUUAGCUAGUUGGUAGGGUAAAAGCCUACCAAGGCGACGAUCCAUAGCUGGUCUGAGAGGAUGAUCAGCCACACUGGGACUGAGACACGGCCCAGACUCCUACGGGAGGCAGCAGUGGGGAAUAUUGGACGAUGGGCGAAAGCCUGAGCCAGCAAUGCCGCGUGAGUGAUGAAGGCCUUAGGGUUGUAAAGCUCUUUUACCCGGGAUGAUAAUGACAGUACCGGGAGAAUAAGCUCCGGCUAACUCCGUG
rnacentral:rRNA from 1 species